rnacentral:rRNA from 1 species
CUCAGAUAUGACGAUGAACAUUGCAAAGAGUGGCGAACGGGUGAGUAACACGUGGGAAACCUACCUCUUAGCAGGGGAUAACAUUUGGAAACAGAUGCUAAUACCGUAUAACAAUAGCAACCGCAGGGUUGCUACUUAAAAGAUGGUUCUGCUAUCACUAAGAGAUGGUCCCGCGGUGCAUUAGUUAGUUGGUGAGGUAAUGGCUCACCAAGACGAUGAUGCAUAGCCGAGUUGAGAGACUGAUCGGCCACAAUGGGACUGAGACACGGCCCAUACUCCUACGGGAGGCAGCAGUAGGGAAUCUUCCACAAUGGGCGAAAGCCUGAUGGAGCAACGCCGCGUGUGUGAUGAAGGGUUUCGGCUCGUAAAACACUGUUGUAAGAGAAGAAUGACAUUGAGAGUAACUGUUCAAUGUGUGACGGUAUCUUACCAGAAAGGAACGGCUAAAUACGUGCCAGCAGCCGCGG